AUACAACACAUGCACACAAGAAAAGAAAAGGGAGAGGGUGAUGGAACAGAGAAAGAAAAGAAAGAAGGGGGAAGAAGACGACACCGGCAAGGCUAGGAGUCGCCGUUGCCGUCGCUGUUGCAAGGAAGAGAGGGAGAACAAGAAAUUGAAAGGAGAAGGAGAAGAACGACGAAGAGUGAAGGAGAAGCAGAAUGUGAUGAAUGCAGAAGAGAAGGACAAGGUCUGUUCUCACACUGUCCUGCUCUGCCGCCGCCGCUGCCAUCGAUUGGGGUCAAAAUCGUCGCCAUCGCACCCGUUCCCGUCGCCAUUAGGGUUUGUUGCUGCUGCCAUUGAUAGAGCCGCCGCUGGGAGGAGCUGAACAGGGAAAGGAGGUCGUCGUCGAUGCUGUCGCGGAAAGGAAGAAAUGGAUGUGCGAGAGAAAGUGAUGUAACCGAGGAGGAAUUGUUCCUCUGCCGCCACUGUCACCAAAAACCUUGGUUGUUGCCAUCUUUACUACUGGAGCUUUUCACCGGGGGAGGGAAGCGACUGUACCAUCCUCGUUGUUUUGACACUGAACCUCCAUUCAUAAUCCUUACUAUUGUGUUCUUCUGGAACUGUCAAAAUUAUUGUUGCCGUGAACGUAAUCAGAGUUGGUGCUGCUGUCGUCGUCUCGGUUGCAUUGGAAUUGUCGCUGCUGUUGCAAAUUCAAAAUAAACAAGUUUAUCACGGUUAAUUCCUAUGAUUCAACUAAAUCAAGCGACAGGUUCAUGAAUCCUUGGCGCGAAGCCGCGACCGAACUACAGAGGUUUAUGUAUAUAUGUAUUCAUAUUUUCUGUAUUUGGUUGAGCCUUAGAUUUUAUUUUUUCCCUCGUCGUUUAUUAUUUUGGUUUUUAGAGGGGUAGGACUUGUAUUUAAAAAUCUUUGAAUAAGUUUAUGUAUAUAAUGCUAUGUGAAUAUAUACUUAUGUGAUUAAGUGGUUUAAAGUAAAAAAAAAUCGAUUUCUUAAUUAAAAA